rnacentral:rRNA from 1 species
GACGAACGCUGGCGGCGUGCUUAACACAUGCAAGUCGAACGAAGUGGCGAACGGGUGAGUAAUACGUGGGUAACCUGCCCUCCUUUUUGGGAUAAGCCUUGGAAACGGGGUCUAAUACCGAAUAAGGGGGAUGGGCUCGCGGCCUAUCAGCUUGUUGGUGGGGUGAUGGCCUACCAAGGCGGUGACGGGUAGCCGGUCUGAGAGGAUGAACGGCCACAUUGGGACUGAGACACGGCCCAGACUCCUACGGGAGGCAGCAGUGGGGAAUCUUCCGCAAUGGACGAAAGUCUGACGGAGCAACGCCGCGUGAGUGAUGACGGCCUUCGGGUUGUAAAGCUCUGUUAAUCGGGACGCGGUACCGGAAUAGAAAGCCACGGCUAACUACGUGCCAGCAGCCGCGGUAAUAC